rnacentral:lncRNA from 1 species
UCGUUCAAGUACAUAUGUGCCCAUGUAGGAGCUCAGACUGAUUCAUUAAUUGUAAUAAAUGGUUGUUGUCCGCAUCAUAGAUGCGGAAGUUAGAGUAUUGAUUCUAUUGCUUUAUUAAGGAAAGAUAACUAGGCGUUUUAGUUUUGGUUAUAAUAUGCGAACACUAUAUGGAGCUAGUCAAUUAGCUGACUAGGCUAUUGUUGAAAUGUAGCGUUGCUUCAAUUUUCUUUCAAUUAAUGGCAUAAUGCAAUUCCAGUUUCAUUGGAUAAAGAAAGAAAGUUAAGCAAGUAACUUUUUUUUGUUUGUGUACACAAGUGCUCCAGCUUUGCUUUCACGGAACAAACUUUGGUUGUCCU